GCGAGCCCUGUCAUGGAAGGCAUCCAGGAGAAUGUGGAACUCCGCACCCGCUUUCUCAGAACAGAGGAGCAUCCAUGACCCUCAGAAUCACAGCAUUGAGAGGUACCACAGGAUGGGCCCCAUGUUUGAAUGGUCUGUGCACUAGGGACCGAGACCCUGAGGACAAGCCUGUGAUUGGUAUGUAUCAACUCCAGGUCUCUGCAUUUGUCCGCGUUCUUCACUGUCAUGUGGCUCCUCCCGAUGUGAUAGCAAAGAUGCCCGUGGACAAACCAGGCUUGGGUCCAUCAUGUUGGCAAUCUGGAGGAAGCCGAGCACUUUUUCUCCAACUGACUCAGUCCCAGGACUGGCUCUCAUUUGCCCAGCUUGUGCAGUGAUGAACCUAUACAAAUUGUGUAAAGCAAAUGUUUUCAGGCAUUGGAUGUCAAGCAGCACAGGACUAUCAACCUGAAGGAAAGAGAAUCACACAAGAUGAGCCUCAUAUUUAUCCUGGCUUUCCGCUUCGGAGCACUCUCUCAACUUCAACACAGAGAAGUGAAACCCAAGUGAAAGAGUAUUGCUAAACCAAGGAGGCAGACCUCAUGUUUGUUCAAGAGUACCCAAGAGAUAGGAUCUGUAAGAGGCACACAGGACCACAUUUGUUCUACCACGCUAUGCUGAAUAUGAGGCAAAAGUUAACACCUGGAAAUUUUGCUAUCCUGAAAUGAGGCAGUGCAUUGUGGAGAAAAAAAGAAUGGACUCUUCUAUUAAAUGAACGUAAGUGAGCAAGCUGUUUAUAAACUAUAAAAGUGACAAAUAUGUAUAAUUAUAUUUAAAUGUUAUCAUUACAAAUUGUUAAGGCAGUAUUGCACCCUACGGGCUUUGGAAACCGUGACCAUUUGCAUUCAUUAUCGAUCAUUGCAUAAAAAUAAUCACAAAA
rnacentral:lncRNA from 1 species